UACGAAGGGGGCUAGCGUUGCUCGGAAUCACUGGGCGUAAAGCGCACGUAGGCGGAUUGUUAAGUCAGGGGUGAAAUCCUGGAGCUCAACUCCAGGACUGCCUUUGAUACUGGCGAUCUUGAGUCCGGGAGAGGUGAGUGGAACUCCGAGUGUAGAGGUGAAAUUCGUAGAUAUUCGGAAGAACACCAGUGGCGAAGGCGGCCCUCUGGAUCGUUGCUGACGCUGAGACGCGAAAGCGUGGGGAGCAAACAGG
rnacentral:rRNA from 1 species